rnacentral:rRNA from 1 species
AGAGUUUGAUCCUGGCUCAGGAUGAACGCUAGCUACAGGCUUAACACAUGCAAGUCGAGGGGCAGCAUGGACCCAGUUUUGCUGGGUUUGAUGGCGACCGGCGCACGGGUGAGUAACGCGUAUCCAACCUGCCCUUUACUCCGGGAUAGUCUCCUGAAAGGGAGUUUAAUACCGGAUGUGUUUGUCUUUCCGCAUGGGAGCGACAAAUAAAGAUUGAUUGGUAAAGGAUGGGGAUGCGUCCCAUUAGCUUGUUGGCGGGGUAACGGCCCACCAAGGCGACGAUGGGUAGGGGUUCUGAGAGGAAGGUCCCCCACAUUGGAACUGAGACACGGUCCAAACUCCUACGGGAGGCAGCAGUGAGGAAUAUUGGUCAAUGGGCGGGAGCCUGAACCAGCCAAGUAGCGUGAAGGAUGACGGCCCUACGGGUUGUAAACUUCUUUUAUAAGGGAAUAAAGUUCGCCCCGUGUGGUGUUUUGUAUGUACCUUAUGAAUAAGCAUCGGCUAAUUCCGUGCCAGCAGCCGCGGUAAUACGGAAGAUGCGAGCGUUAUCCGGAUUUAUUGGGUUUAAAGGGAGCGUAGGCGGGCUUUUAAGUCAGCGGUCAAAUGCCACGGCUCAACCGUGGCCAGCCGUUGAAACUGCAAGCCUUGAGUCUGCACAGGGCACAUGGAAUUCGUGGUGUAGCGGUGAAAUGCUUAGAUAUCACGAAGAACUCCGAUCGC